UCAAGCUAGAAAAAGUUUGCAGGAUUAUGGAAAUACAUUCUUUCUGAAUGCUUUCUUUCCCACUUCAAAUCCCAGCCAUCUUUAAAAGCAAGGUGACAGCUCUCAUAAAAGAGAUUUUUCUUCUUCUCCGCUGUGAUUUGAUUUAGAUCUCCUCUCCAGUGACACCGAGCCUGCCAGCCUGUGUAAAGCCCGGAGAUGCCUCCAGCAGGCAGUCCACUAAUGACUCCGAGUUGCUGUAAGAUACAUACAGAGAGAAAGAAGAGAAUUAAGCACCCAUUUCAUUGGCCCAUCAGACAGGAGUCGCGAGCCCCACGGGGUCAGUGUGGCCACUCCACUGCCAACCACCUUCAUUCCUAAAGCACAACAUAUGGAAACUGUAGGGGUGUUCUUGGGGAUUUAUUUGAAUAGCUCAUAUUUGCAGUCUGCAGAGUUUGAAAAGUUUUUUCCUUUUAAUAGGAUGUUUCCUCUUUUCGGUAUCAGUUGCAAAACUGCCUAAAGUCACAGUCACAUGUCAAAAUCCUGAUGCCUGCAGUUAAUGAUUCUCGUUUUCAUUCCAACAGUCUCAUCCACUUAACGCCCUCAUUGCUCGGCUACUGCUCCCGCAUUCACACGUCUACGUCUCGUCAGCGUCCCAUGGCUUUCAAUGGAAUAACUCUGUGGUCACACACAUAGUGUAACACAACUACCAUCUCCAUUAUACUACAUGGACUUUACUCCUCCAGCAGCAGUAGAAGCAAAAAAACAGUUAAGCAAUUUUUAUUUCUUUCCUGUUAUAGUUUUCCCCUUCAAAAUACUUUACAUGGGUUCAUACCACAUAUAGCCGUGAACUUUUAAAUAAAAUAACCAAGUUAAUAGACCUUUGCUUUAGCAGUAAGUCUGGAACUCUCACAGUAUGGGCGCUUUGAGGAAAAUACUAUCGUGAGAUUCAGCGGAGUAGGAAAGUCAUCAUUAAAUUAGGUCACCUGUGCCAAAGCAACACAUUAUUACUUUAUGGGAGAUGUUUGUGAUGGAGGCUGAGGUGUUGACUCAACAGGCCUAACAGAGCUUGACCUGCAUGUGGUGGUGCUGCAUACAGCCAACAAACCGAAAUGUCAUCCUGCAGUUCCCACACUAACUGCUUCCUAGAGACGACUGUGUUGGUAAAAUGCUGAUGACUAGUUAAUAUAUUCAUUAUUAUAUUUAAUAAUGGUAAGUUAGGAACUUGGAGACUUAACUGAGACUAAGACCCUAUUGCAGUAGGUGCAUUAGAGACAUCUUGGAACCAGCAGCCCGGUCUAGUCUAACCCAGUUUACAUAAUAGACAGAGAUGGCAAAUUAAAUUCCAUCCUUUUGCCCAGGUUCACACAGUUGAAACACACAGUUCAGAUGGGCAAAGGGGCCACCACAAUGGAACAGGACCAAAAACUGUCCUGUAAAUACUUACGCACACUCUUGGGAAUUAACGUAACUUCACACUUCAAGCCACUUCAAGGAUUUUAAUGAUGGCACAAAUCAGUUUCUCCCAGGUGUUAGAGUAGUUAAGCACAAAAUUUACUUCCUUUGCUAUGAGCAAAACCAGCGUUCAGCACUCCUUGCAGCAGGAAGCGGAGAAGUGGAUUAAAAUGGUCUUCGUUUUGUUAAAGGAUGCACGAACUCUUCUUUAGGGACUAAGGAUCUUUCUGGCCACCAGGACUAUCUGUACCUGGAAGAAAGUCUGUUGGUUUUUUAUGUUAAUUGUUGUUAUAUAUAGUUAUAACCAAGAAAAAGGACAUCCAAAGCCAGAAUCAAGAGCAUUUGUUUCUUAUAGACGUCCUUGAGUUGUACGAUAUAGAAUAAGGAGCUAGCAAACAAUACAAUGCCUUAGUCAUGGGUGUAGAUCAUAGUCUGGAGAGCAGAAAGGAAUUCAUUCCUUUUCUCCUAAAAAUAUACCUAAAUCUACCUUACUCUAUGGAAAGAGAGUGCUGUAACCAUACUCCACAAGGAAAACGAAUCUUCACAUCACUCAGAUAAAGCGGUUUCCAUACCAUACUUUGAGAUACAUAGAAACAUGGCCCCAGGAGAUUAGAAAUGUAGAGCAGAUGAGAUGGCUACCGAGCAGAGCCAGGGGAUGUACAGAAGAAUCAAAUUAAGUUUGCAUAUUCAUUUCCCGAUUUCACAAUUUCAGAAACAUUUUUAACACAAAAGUGAAUGCAUAGGUGUGUACAAAAGAUUAGUAAAUUCUGGAAGGUUGUGGACAUUUUCAUUAGUUUAGGUUAGUCUCAUAGGUCACCUAGAAGAGACAAAACUAACGAACAAAACCAGAGGGAGGAGCCUGAAGCCUUUGUCUCCACUUGCAAGUUCCCAUCAAAAGUGUACAGAGCAACAUUUCUUAUCCCAGAAGGCAUCUCAAAGGGGCUGCAGACAAACACAGAAGAGCCGAAAGAGCAAGGAGGGGACACAAGUGGCACCAGCUGAAGAAGGAAGAAAGAAGAAAUAUUAAAUCCUCAAUACACUUUUAUGGGCCUGCUUUCCUUUUCACAAGAAAAGGCAUUUUUUCACAGCGAGAGGUUUAAAGAAUUCUUUCAGAAAUUCCACACGGUCCUAAGGAGACUGUUCCCCUUAAAACUCUGAAAGGCUAUUUUUCAUUUUCCUUUAGCUAUUUCCAUUUUUAUCAUUCCACUUUAUGGCUAGAAAUAUGUACUUGGCAGGAUUUGCCAACUCUUACAAACACUGAACCUGGGGACCACCUUGUCCUCUACAACUGACAGACUAACCAAGGGCCACUGAACGUCCACCAGCGAAGGACGGUGUGAGAUCUAAAGUGAAACCUCACGUAAUUCAAGUUAACUACAAAGAUACACUGUGUGUAUUAAUGCUACCCCUUCAAGAAGCAUUGCUGUCAUAUGCUCCCUGAUGUCCAGUGGUAAGAACUGAUUUAAUAAAUCUGAUACCUUCACAUCUUCCCCUCCAUUCAGAUGUUCCGCAUGCCACAGGAGAGGCUGCUACUUUCAGAGUUGUUUUAAAAGGCUGACUUUUCCUUUUUCUUAAUGUGCCAUCUUCUCACUCACUCAGCCUUCAUUUAGCUGUGAGAUCUUAGAGGCAUCAGACCCACACUAAAGAGAAAAAUUAAGUCCCAGUAUCUGAUCUACCCAUUGAGAAGAAGAAAAGGAAGAUUAUAAAAGGGAUGUCGUGGAGUAGAAGAACAAGUUAAUUAUUUUGUUUUACCACAUUUUUAUACUAUCUCCACAUCUGAAGAAAAAUCUCUUCCAUCUAUUUGGAGUCUUCCUGAUGCUCUCAGAAUGAAAUCUGUCAUGGAACAGAGCAAUUAUUCACCACUUUGAUCUCCUUUCUCCUUAACUGAGAACUGAAGAAAGAUUUCAGUACUGACAUGAUCUUCGAUGGGCCUUGUCCAAAGCUCCUGGCCCUUGCACUGGGGAACAGGGCUGCAAACUUCCUAUAUAUCUACAGUAUAAAUCACACCGAGAAGUUCCUGUUCAACAAGGAAAAUGAUCAUAUAAUUCAAAUCUUUCCCAGACAUUUUCAGUUUGAGCACUUUUACUAUUUGGCAUUACUUUUCUUGGGCGUUCUCAGCUUUAAAGUAGCGUUUGGCAGCACUUCUUUGUAUUAAAGUUCUAUUGGUACCUAAUGAGAAGUCUUGAUCUAUUAUAAUAGUGAAAUAAGAAAUGUUGACACACACCUGGGAAAGAAGAAGCGUGGAAAAAUAAUUCCUGGAUUACUCUUGGAAACUUUCAGCACUAUGUAAAAGGAGAGAAGAAAGAGGAGUGAUGCCUGGUUUGAGAAAUGGCCUUCUAUCCAGAAUUGUGAGAUGGGUAAGAGCUAAAGAAUGUGCUGACAAGCAAAUGUAGAGAAAAAAUUGAGUUUGUGUAGCAUUCUGAAGAGUUAUACUACAGCUUAAGCUUAAACUUGGGAACUGUUCAUUAUUUCUAGAAGUGUAGUAAGGAUCAGGCACAGAUGAAUACGAUACAAGAUCCAUUUAAGAGACAUUAUCAUAUCUAUCUAAUCUACGGGGCAUUAAAAAAACACCUCUUUACCUCUCAGACACAGUAAAUAACCUUCAUGUACUCCUGACGUGAAGUCACCAGAUGGGUCAUAAUGGAACCAGUACCUUCCACCUCUGUAGGCGAGCAAACGGCCUCCUUUCAAGCUGAACUCUCCAGAAAGAAGAGAAUUGAAUUACCUGAGUGCUGAUCCACUUCAAAGGAUGUUCUUUAUCAGAGGCGUAAUCAGAUUCUGCUGCUUUGAUCAAGAGAAUCUAUGAACCUGCUCACUCGAUCACAAGCGCUGCUAUUUGCCACAAACAGAUAACUAAUCCAUUACAGGACAUACAUCUGCUCUGAGUGACGUUCCUGAUGGGAGAGGAGGAACGCAGAAUGCAGAAUUCCCCUCAGGAAAGCAGACCAAGGGAAUUCCAAUGAGACAGAGGGAAGAUGCUCAAGAUCGAACAGGAGCAACUGCUGGUCCAUCUCACUUGCCACGCACAGACCUGUGUUUUCAAAGCUUCUGUCGCCUUUCUUCAAAGGGCCAGGAUCUUCUAGGCAUUUCUCAGACACCUAUGUGAAGUGGAUGCAUCGCUUCUUCAUGGUUCCAGGGCUGCCAUAAUUAGUAUUCUACCUUUUCAGUAAGAAACGUACAAACGGAUUGAGGAAUGAACAGAAAAUAUUCUAGAAACUCUAUUUUCAGACUAUUCUUUCAAUCUCUGCUAAAUUUUUGCAAGCUGGCACAGGUCUUAUCCCAGGUAAACUUACUUAAAACUCAGGCAAAUCCUCCUAUUUUGUGGAGGGAAUGAGAGAGGUAACGUAAAAAGGGAUUUGACUGUAAUAAAGGAUAUGGAUAACAGAGUGAAUUUUCUUGUUUGCUCUCUUUUAAAACACAUACAAGAGUAAAGUGAAUUUAAAAGAAAAGGCAUAAAUAUAAAACACAUUCAUGAAAUUUUUAAAAAACAGUUAUUAAACUUCUGGAGCUCAUGGCAAAAUGACAAAUUUGAGUCUGAAACAUGAAUGAGAAUUAAAAAGGAAUUAGAUAUUUACAAGAACAUCAUUACAAAGUAAGCAGGUUAAGUUGUUAUUAGAAGGGAUCCAAGUCCUCAUCAGCCUAUUUCUAAGCCAACCAUGAUUCCAGAAAGGGUUACCGGACACUUUUCCCUGUAGGAACAGGUUAUUCUGCAAGGCCCAGCCCUGCUCCAUCAACACCAACCAGCUCCCCAUUGAGGUCAAAGAGCAGGAUCACGUCACCAGGUUCUUUCUUGCACAACCCUGUGCUGCCUCUGACACUAAAUGUGAUUGAUGGCAUGUUUGAUUCUCUAUGCCAAUUUUUGUAUCGUAUUGUGGAAUGAACCACACUGCUGCUAAAAUCAACCUCCAUUUCCAUCUAUAUCACAGCAAUUGUUUCUCUCAUUGGCAAGCCACACGAGCCUUGUUUUCUCUUUAUCAGCAUGAGGCCUCAUUCUCACAAAUACAAUACAACGUCCAAGAGAUGUAAUUUCUACACAACCUGCCUUAACUCCUUCCACAAGCAAGCCACACAUUUUACAGUCAAGAUAUUGCCGGCAAGAAAUGAGAACUAGCCUGAAUAUUUAAAGAUCCAGCGUAAUAGUUCACAUGACUCAUAGUACUAGGCUGUAGUCACAAGAAAAUUCAACUGUAAUAAUUACAUCCAUGUGCUAAGCGCUCUCACUAUCGUAUUAUAUGAGCAUCUUUAACAUUCAGGCAUACAGGAAAUCUUUGUCAUUAACUAAAUCUGAGUAAUUAAAUACAUCCUAGUUGAAAAAGUGCCUUACAUCUCCUGACUGAGUUCUGCCCAGACACACAAAUGCCCUCCUCCCACUUACGAGUAGUGUGAUUCACAAGAGAAAACAUACGUAUAAAACCCCACAACUAAAACCACACACAACUUACAAGUGCUUUUCUUCUAAUUCUAAAACGGACUUGAGGCUGAAGUAGGAAAGAACCUGAGGAGAAAGUUCUGAGAGCUAACGAGUACCAAAAUAAAGGACUGCAAAGAAGCCAUCUUCGUAGCCUUCUCUACUGUAAACAAUUCAAAAAUCUAAAUGUUUGUCUCUUCAAAACUUCAUAGUUACCUAUAUCCGUUUAAAAUGAAAGUAGCUUUUUUUUUUUUUUCAUUAAACUCAGCUGAAUUAGGUCAAACUUUAAGUUCAUAUUUCAUCAUCACUUGGCCUUUGCGUAAUGGCCAGUCAUGAGCGGAGUUUCUCCACCGCAAGCAGGACAAGAGCAGAGAUGAAGGCAGCCCUUGGAACACCAUCUCCUCCCCUUCUGCCUCGAAUCGUCAGCGUAAGAUGGACAAAUAACGUGCCUGAGGUCCUGCCGACCCUUUGCUGCAUCACUCAGAUUCCCGCAGUUUACUUUUUUGAGCAUCUUACUGCAUCUUUGGAUCAGCCAACAAAGAAAUGCCUUUUGGACACAGCAUGUGGUCAAAUGAAGAUUCUGUUCAAAGUGACAUGAAAUCAGAAAUAUUGGCUAUAUAACAGAUAUUGUCUUUUUCUAUACCUCUGUUCUUCAUUGUCAGUAGUCGCCAUAACUGAAGAGACACACUCACAAAGAAGUAAGAAAUGUUCAAAGUGGGCAACAGAUGCUUUAUUAGAAGGCAAACCUUUCCCUUUUCUCUGUUCAUUUUAUCCUAACACCAGCAGGUUUCUAAGGGGGAGAAAAAGCACCUUUGAAGCUUUUUUUUUUCCCCUUCAAACUGCUGUAUUUUUUUAAAAAGGUCCUAAUUUCAAAUGCUUUAGUGAAGUCUGACUUAGUGCUCCUGUGCUACAAAAUAUUUCAUGCUUUAAUAGUAGGAUCACUACCAGUUCUCCUUUAUAUUGGCAUUUUUUCCUGGUUAUUAAUUGGACAGACAAGUCCCAGUUAUUGGUAGAUGCGGAAUUCCUCUCCUCCACGACCCAAACGUCGCUCCUUUUGGGUGGAUCUUGGACUUGAGCAGCCUGGGAACACUUCACGGGUUUGUUCCACUGUCCUGUAUGAAAACAGCUUCUGCCUCCACACGCCUAUGAAAUUUCUGAUGUUAACACCUCAAAAUACUCACUAUAUUAGCGUGUACUCAGGCCAACCUCUUAACUGAAUUCAGCUGGAGUUCUGCUCCACCACCAAACAUGGAAUUGGAUCCAAAGAAAAGCAGCUGAACUGGGUAAACCUUGUUCCACCAAACCCAUCUGUACCCACCUUGGCGUUGCAAAUGCCAACCUCACGUCACCAAAAAACAGCGUCCCUGGAGCCCUGUUGCACACACACAUUUCUUCACACUGCGUUGAAACUUGGAGUUGCUCAGGGUAAUUAUAACAUGGGGAAAACAAAUAGCAGGACCAGCGCGUUCUUGUAUUCCAUGUCAAUGAACAGGGAAUAGGCAUAAACAGGGCUUAAUGCCUAUUUAUGAGCCUACGGAGGAGCCCCGAGGAUGGGGUGUACGGCAGCGUUGUGUAUAUGCUCUCCAUGGAAGCACAGAAAUUGCCGUUCAACAUGCAAGUUUUGUUUACACCAGCAAAAGUAUCAAAGUAGCAGUUGACUAACCAGGACCCAGAGCCAUGAAAAAAGAUGAGCUGUUCGGAAAAGACCGCAGGGACAAUCACUAGAAUAUCAUUUUGUGCAGCACAUCCCAUUUGAUAUCACUACAACUGCAUUGCGAAUGAACACUUUAAUUAAUUAACACCCAUUCGAGUUACACGUCCUAUUCGAUUGCCGAUCCGCAACUCAACCUCCGAAGAGCUCAAUACAUCUGAGAACAUGGAAAUGGGGACACCAGAAGCAGAUUGGCUCUGUUCUGAGGUGACCGGGCUACCUGGGGGAGCCAGAAGCAACAAGAAACCAGUCUGAGAAACCAGUGAGGGAAGUGGACAAAGCAACUCGCGGUGAUUUUUUUAAGAACACAUUUAUCAGGGAUCAUUUUUUUCUGUAUUGUACUUAACAUCCCUGUGCCUCCCGAAAACAACAAGGCAAAGCUUUAAGGAGAAACUUCUCCCUGCAGAAGAACCAACUAAGCAGUGGUAACCCGGAGGAAUCUGCACAACCAUGAGGCUCAGCAAACCCGGGAUCAACCGAUGAACUUGCAGACUGUUCUGAGUCUUCUAACUUUAAGUAGAGGCACUAAUGUAACAACACCCGUCCAGCACAGUCGUCUUAUUGCCCACAAGCUGCAUUUCUUUUCAGCAAGGAGUGACAACUUAAAAACCAGAACAUACAAAAUGUAGAAUGAAUGUUUUCACCUGACCAUGGUCAUUAUUACAUUUUUCCAUGGAUAUAUUUGUAACACUGAAGUAUCCGUCUCAGAGGAGAAGAAUUUCUGUUUUAUUCUAUUUUUUUACGCUCAUGAGAAAUUAAGAUAUCAGUCUUCAUUGCUGUUUAUUCAUAUUUUGUGUUUUAAGCUUUGCACAAAUAGAUCAGAAGUAAUACAGCAACGCAACAAUUCUAACCAAUAGCAUGAAAGAAAGUAAAUUAUCUACAGAAUGAGACCAUACAUUUGACUAUUGAAAAUAUGUAUUGAAAGGUAUCUUUCUGAAGAAAGUGAAUGAACUUAGAAAAUUAAAAUCAGUAUUACAAGAGGAGGACAAAAAUGUGAAGGAAGAUCAGGAGAGUGCAUUACACUACCUGUUCUUAUUGGAAUAUUCAAAGCAGAUGUGACAAAGCACAUUAGGAGCUGUUGUCAGCUCGGCGGCCACUGCUGCUACCCCAGAUAUUGGCACAAAAUCAACUUUGGCAACCAUUGAUAAGCGAGAGCUGGGGAGGAAGAGGAGGAUGUAACAUCGGGCAGUGAAACACGGUGCAACCGCUGGGCUGCUCCCCCUGAUAGUUCAAUAAUUCCUCCUGCUGGAGAGGAAAUAACAUGAAUUCCGUUUGGAAAGCAGGUCUCGAGUGGCAACAAAGAAAGCAACGGUCAAGCUGCAAGAUAAAUAUGCAGCAAGUGGAAAAAGUGAUUUAGCUGCACUUUGAAAAAAAAAUCCAUUAGGGCAAAUAAAUUAAAUCCUUGACCUAUUAAAUGGAAUGGGAUUUUAUUUUUAAAUCAGAAAGGCCAGCAUUUGCCUAGACUAUUAUUAUUUAUUCACAUAGAAGAUGCCACAAAGUGUCUAAUACAGGGAAGGGAUUGGGACUUUAUGUUAAAUUCCACCUAUGAGCAUUCUGCCUCCUGAAUUUCUGUGCUUCGGUAUUGAGCGAGUUUCCCAACGGCACAAACAGGGCAAGAAUUUACUCAGACAAUAGAACCGUUCGCUUCAGGGUUUGUCUGUACAAUUUAAAGGUUUCCAUUCUCAUGUCUAAACGCAUGAGCAAAACCCACUUGCAUUUAUAUUAUAUUUUAUUCUAGUAGCUGCCCUAUCCGGAUUGCACUGAGUUGGACCUGAAUGCUGAGGUUUGGAUGCACCCAAGUAGUGAAACGGGGCAUUUGAAGAGGACAGAGAUGUUCCCGUGUGCCAUCCACCGCCGAGAACCAGCUUUUACUCAGCCCCGUGUCUCCGAUCCUGAGAGACGGGCCCUUGCGCUGACGUGAUCGCCACCGGUAUCAAACAGCCCCAACAGAAAAGAACAUCUCUCAUGUAAAUCCCUGCAGAAAACCAACAGAAAGGCCCAAGAAGGUUAAAGGCUACAGCUUCUAGAGCUCUUGUUCAUACCAAAGAAAAAAAGGAAACAGCGUUCAAAAGUUUUAUUCUUAGGCCGUUUUCAACAAUUCCCUUUAAAAAAAAUCCUACUUUUACCUUAUUCAGAAAGUUCACAAAUAAAGACUUGCUUUUUCUCUCUCUGUA